rnacentral:rRNA from 1 species
GAUAACAUGUUGAACCGCAUGGUUCUACAGUGAAAGACGGUCUUGCUGUCACUUAUAGAUGGACCCGCGCCGUAUUAGCUAGUUGGUGGGGUAACGGCCUACCAAGGCGACGAUACGUAGCCGACCUGAGAGGGUGAUCGGCCACACUGGAACUGAGACACGGUCCAGACUCCUACGGGAGGCAGCAGUAGGGAAUCUUCCGCAAUGGGCGAAAGCCUGACGGAGCAACGCCGCGUGAGUGAUGAAGGUCUUCGGAUCGUAAAGCUCUGUUGUUAGGGAAGAACAAAUGUGUAAGUAACUGUGCACAUCUUGACGGUACCUAACCAGAAAGCCACGGCUAACUACGUGCCAGCAGCCGCGGUAAUACGUAGGUGGCAAGCGUUAUCCGGAAUUAUUGGGCGUAAAGCGCGCGUAGGCGGUUUUUUAAGUCUGAUGUGAAAGCCCACGGCUCAACCGUGGAGGGUCAUUGGAAACUGGAAAACUUGAGUGCAGAAGAAGAAAGUGGAAUUCCAUGUGUAGCGGUGAAAUGCGCAGAGAUAUGGAGGAACACCAGUGGCGAAAGCGGCUUUCUGGUCUGCAACUGACGCUUAUGUGCGAGAGCGUGGGGAUCAAACAGGAUUAGAUACCCUGGUAGUCCACGCCCUAAACGAUGAGUGCUAAAUGUUAUGGGGUUUCCCCCCCUUAAUGCUGCAGCUAACGC